GGGCGGGUAGUUUAGUGGUAGAACGUCUGCUUUACACGCAGAAGGUCGCAGGUUCAAUCCCUGCCUCGCCCA
rnacentral:tRNA from 1 species